AACAAACGCUGGCGGCGUGCCUAAUACAUGCAAGUCGAACGGGGAAAGUUCUUCGGAAUGAGUACUAGUGGCGUACGGGUGAGCAACACGUGGAUAAUCUUCCUUCAGGUGGGGAAUAACGAGUCGAAAGAUUCGCUAAUACCGCAUAAGACCACAGUAACUUUGGUUACAGGGGUUAAAGACUUCGGUCGCCUUUAGAUGAGUCUGCGUCCGAUUAGCUAGUUGGUGAGGUAAUGGCUCACCAAGGCGACGAUCGGUAACUGGUCUGAGAGGACGGCCAGUCACACUGGGACUGAGACACGGCCCAGACUCCUACGGGAGGCAGCAGUAGGGAAUUUUGCACAAUGGAGGAAACUCUGAUGCAGCGACGCCGCGUGAGUGAUGAAGGCCUUCGGGUCGUAAAGCUCUGUUCUCAGGGAAUAAAAAAAUAGAAGGUACCUGAGGAGAAAGGACCGGCUAACUUCGUGCCAGCAGCCGCGGUAA
rnacentral:rRNA from 1 species